rnacentral:rRNA from 1 species
CCUACGGGAGGCAGCAGUGAGGAAUAUUGGUCAAUGGACGAGAGUCUGAACCAGCCAAGUAGCGUGAAGGAUGACUGCCCUAUGGGUUGUAAACUUCUUUUAUAUGGGAAUAAAAUGUUCCACGUGUGGGAUUUUGUAUGUACCAUAUGAAUAAGGAUCGGCUAACUCCGUGCCAGCAGCCGCGGUAAUACGGAGGAUCCGAGCGUUAUCCGGAUUUAUUGGGUUUAAAGGGAGCGUAGGUGGAUUGUUAAGUCAGUUGUGAAAGUUUGGGGCUCAACCGUAUAAGUGCAGUUGAAACUGGCAGUCUUGAGUACAGUAGAGGUGGGCGGAAUGCGUGGUGUAGCGGUGAAAUGCUUAGAUAUCACGAAGAACUCCGAUUGCGAAGGCAGUUCACUGGACUGCAACUGACACUGAGGCUCGAAAGUGUGGGUAUCAAACAGGAUUAGAUACCCGAGUAGUC